UACAGAGGGGGCAAGCGUUGUUCGGAAUUACUGGGCGUAAAGGGCUCGUAGGCGGCCAACUAAGUCAGACGUGAAAUCCCUCGGCUUAACCGGGGAACUGCGUCUGAUACUGGAUGGCUUGAAUCCGGGAGAGGGAUGCGGAAUUCCAGGUGUAGCGGUGAAAUGCGCAGAUAUCAGGAAGAACACCCGUGGCGAAGGCGGCUCUCUGGGACGGUACUGACGCUGAGACGCGAAAGCGUGGGGAGCGAACAGG
rnacentral:rRNA from 1 species